CCCUUAGAUGUCCUGGGCCGCACGCGCGUUACACUGAUGCAUUCAACGAGCAUAUAACCUUGGCCGAGAGGCCUGGGUAAUCUUGUUAACAUGCAUCGUGAUAGGGAUAGAUUAUUGCAAUUAUUAAUCUUGAACGAGGAAUUCCUAGUAAUCGCAGUUCAUCAAACUGCAAUGAUUACGUCCCUGCCCUUUGUACACACCGCCCGUCGCACCUACCGAUUGAAUGUUUCGGUGAAGAUUCCGGACCGUGGCGAGCGCGCUUCACGGCGCUCUUGCCGUGGGAAGUUAUCUAAACCUCAACAUUUAGAGGAAGGUGAAGUCGUAACA
rnacentral:rRNA from 1 species